rnacentral:rRNA from 1 species
CCUACGGGUGGCAGCAGUGGGGAAUAUUGGGCAAUGGACGCAAGUCUGACCCAGCAACGCCGCGUGAAGGAAGAAGGCUUUCGGGUUGUAAACUUCUUUUAAGGGGGAAGAGCAGAAGACGGUACCCCUUGAAUAAGCCACGGCUAACUACGUGCCAGCAGCCGCGGUAAUACGUAGGUGGCAAGCGUUGUCCGGAAUUACUGGGUGUAAAGGGAGCGUAGGCGGGAAGCCAAGUCAGCUGUGAAAACUACGGGCUUAACCUGUAGACUGCAGUUGAACCUGGCUUUCUUGAGUGAAGUAGAGGUUGGCGGAAUUCCGAGUGUAGCGGUGAAAUGCGUAGAUAGUCGGAGGAACACCGGUGGCGAAGGCGGCCAACUGGGCUUUAACUGACGCUGAGGCUCGAAAGUGUGGGGAGCAAACAGGAUUAGAUACCCUUGUAGUC